rnacentral:rRNA from 1 species
ACGGGGAGCACCACAACGGGUGGAGCUUGUCGGUUUUAAUUGGAUCAACGCGGAAAUCUUACCGGGACCGACAGCAAUAUGAAGGCCAGGCUGAAGACUUUUGCCGGAUUAGCUGAGAGGUGGUGCAUGGCCGUCGUCAGUUCGUACUGUGAAGCAUCCUGUUAAGUCAGGCAACGAGCGAGACCCACGCCCACAGUUGCCAGCGUACUCUCCGGAGUGACGGGUACACUGUGGGACCGCCGCUGCUAAAGCGGAGGAAGGAAUGGGCAACGGUAGGUCAGUAUGCCCCGAAUAUCCCGGGCUACACGCGAGCCACAAUGGUUGGUACAAUGGGUAUCUACCCCGAAAGGGGACGGGAAUCUCCUAAAACCAAUCUUAGUUCGGAUUGAGGGCUGCAACUCGCCCUCAUGAAGCUGGAAUCCGUAGUAAUCGCGUUUCAACAGAACGCGGUGAAUACGUCCCUGCUCCUU